rnacentral:rRNA from 1 species
CCAAGGAGUCUAGCAUGUGCGCGAGUCAUUGGGUUUCGCUAAACCUAAAGGCGGAAUGAAAGUGAAGGCAGCCUCGGGUUUGCCCAGGUAGGAUCCCGGUCAUCUCGGCUUGGCGCACUACCGGCCCGUCGCGUCCGCUCUGCGGUGCGGCGGAGCAAGAGCGUACACGCUGGGACCCGAAAGAUGGUGAACUAUGCCUGAGUAGGACGAAGCCAGAGGAAACUCUGGUGGAAGUCCGUAGCGGUUCUGACGUGCAAAUCGAUCGUCGAACUUGGGUAUAGGGGCGAAAGACUAAUCGAACCAUCUA